GCAAUUUAUGUUGUAAACAAUUACAGAAUACCCUUUACCACACAAUUGAUUAAUGCUAAGGAGGUUAUGUCUAAGCCUUUUGACAAAUAAAACACCAUAUAUGGCGAUUGUUGAGGGAUUUUCAACAACACCUUCACCUAAGAUCUUAUCUUUGUUGUUAUCUUCAUAUGUGAUGUAGCCUCGCUCUUUAUUGACAAAGUCAAUGAAUAUUGACGUGUUUCCCGUGAUAUGCCUUAAACAAAUACUAUUCAGGAACCACAUCCUAGUUGCAAUGGCAAGAUAUUCAAACAAGAAGACCAAUAAGGUAAAUUAGGUACACAACUUGUGUUGUGUCAUUGGGGGUUAGUACUAGGACUCAAUAUACAUGUAUUGAGACCAUUUGAAAAUUUUACAUUACUAAUGUGAUAUUAAGGCCCCAUAUGUCCCUUUUCACCAUAAUAAGGGAAAACAACUUUAUGAGAUAUAUUCUUUCUAUUCUUCCUAGUGACAUGAGCAUAUUUAUUAUUUAAAUUCUAAAACUUUACUCGUCUUCAUGUAUUUAUUAAAAUCCCUCAAGUUUGAAAAUAUUUUUAUUUUAAGAAGAGAUUUUUUAAAAAUAAUUUAAGGCUUCAACAUGCAUUUCAUGAAAAACUCCAAACAACUCAUUAUAAGAAGGUAAAAAGCGUGUAUCAGAAUCACUUAUUUCCGAAUCUCUUUAUUUAUGUCACGCCGUCAAAAAAAUAUUAGGUAAUUAUUCAUUUGUGCUUGAAUUAGAAGAUGGAGAAUAUUCAUAUUCUUCAUAAGUAUGGACAAUCUUCAUUUGGACUUGAAUUUGCGCUUCGUCAAGCUUGAAUAAUCAUUUUUAUAGUGUCCGAGUUUACCACAUUCAAAGCAUGUUACAUUCUUUUCUUCCUUAUUUUUAUCAUCCCACUUAUUGGAUGGAUUGGACUUUAUGAGCUUUAUCAUGUUCUAGUCUAAAUGUUUGAGAUUGUUCCUCCUUAUGUGUUUACUGUAGCGUCUCACAAAUAGUCCCAUCUCUUCAUAUUUUGAAGAUUCGUUACUCAAGUCAUCUUCAAUGUCCUAUACCUUAGCCUUGGAAGUUGAGGCCUUCAAGGAUAUGUUUUUUCUCAUCUUUAUUCCUUUCUUUUUGCUUUGCAAUUAUUUUACUCGCUUCAAGACUUUUUAACUUAUGCCCAUGUUCAGUGAGCUUUCCAAAGAGUGUUGACAUAUCUAGAGUCUUUACAUCAUGUGAUUAUUUAAUAAUAAUUAAUUUAGUCUGCCAUUCCAUGCCUAUAGAUCUCGUAAUUUUAUUAGCACAAUCAUGAUUAAAUGUAGUUUUUUUUACAUAAAUUCUUUAGUUUGUUGAUUAUAUGGGAAAACCUCAUCUGCAUGGAGGCCGCAAAUUCACCGAGCUCCAUGCAGAAAAAUUUACAUUCUUCUCUCAAUUUGUUGAUUUUAGAUUGCUUGAAGUCUUUAGUUCCUUCACGGAGAACUUGAAGAGUGUCCCACAUUUCCUUAGUCGUCUUACAAUGUGAUAUUGAGAAAUACACAUUCAAACUCAAAGAAGAGAUAAGUAUAUUUUUAUCAUUGUCAAACUAUAAUACAUUUGCUUAAUCUCAUUGUCAUUCCAUUCCUAUGGUUGUUUCUUAAUAGAUACACCACCAAUGAUAUUUUGAGGAACAAAAUUUCCUUCUUCUAUGGCAAGCCAUAAUCAUAAGGUGUACGUACAUGGAAUCCUUCUAAUAUGCGUAACCUUCAAUAGUAAAAGGGGAUCUCCAUUAUGCAUUCCCUUCAUAUUAAUUUACACUAUAUUCAAUAACUUUAGGGGUUGUUAAACAUUAUCAAAAGAACCAAUCUUGAUGCCAAUUUUUAGUUGAAUAUGGUGGCCAAAGGUCUAAAAGGAGGGGUUGAAUAGACUGUUAACACAACUUCAAGCUUUAUCGGCGUAAAUUGUUGUCUCAACUCUAGUUCAAACAAAUGUUAAUCUAGACAAGGCAUUACAAUGUGAUUUUGGUGGUGAAGGUCACACCAAUGGCUAUUGUGUAUCAUUCUUUGAAGAAGCGCAUUAUUCAAGAAAUUAUCAAGAUCCAGAUUCUUACCUCAACACCUAUAAUCCAUGGUGGGAUGAUCAUUCAAGUCUUAACUAAAAUAACAAUUAAUUUCAAAAUUUUAACAAAGAAGUUCCUCAAGAUCCACCACCAAUGACGUCAUCCCUUCUAGAGGAGACUUUGAAAAAGUUUAUGAAGUUUACUCAAAGGAACUUUGUAGAAAUUAAGAUCACUCAAGAAAUACCUGAAAGGAAGCCAUCUCUUCUAUAAGAGACUGUGAAUUAAUUCACAUUGACUCAAAGCAACUUGGAAGCAAGACAUUCACAAAUUGAAGCAUUAUGUAAGAACCUUGAAGCAUCCAACAAGAAUAUUGAAGCAUCCAAUAAGAACAUUAAAUCAUCCAUGAAGAAUAUUAAAUAUCACAUUGGGAAGUUAUGUAAACAAGUGGCAACUCAAUCGAUUGGGGUUUUUAACGGGAAUAUGUUAGAUAGUUCUAGGAAUGCUAAAGUUGAGAGAGAAGUCAAAGAUGAAUGGGAAGUACUUGAUGAAGAGGAGUUGAAAACGGAAAAGAAGAAUAAAAAUACAUGCCAAAGAUAACAUUGAAUCAAGAAUAGAAAAAGUUGAGGCGGAAAAUAGAUUUGGAAAAAGAGCAAGAAUGGUAAGAAAAGAUGAUCUAGUUUUGGAUUCAAUGAUUUGCCUAGAUGCAGGUAUCCAACAAGAAAAUCUUCAACAAAAUAAUGUUCCUAAAAGAUAUAGUAGCAACAAGGAAGAUGGAAUAGAAUAAAUAAAUAAAGUAUUAGAUUCCAUUUAUGCCUUGUUUGUUACUAUCAAGCUGAAGAAGAUAUGGAAGCAACAUCAUUAUUACCUCAAGUUCAUGAGAGCACUACCAAACAAAAGAAAUAAGAAAGAUAAUGUGUUUUUUUAUGUGUCAUAUAUGCUGCCAUAACAGAGAAGUAAAUGGCCAAGAUAAGGACCUUAGAUAAGCGUUGUGUGGGAGACAACCUACAAAUCAGUGUUAUUUAGCUUUAUUUUAUUUUCAUGUUUUAGUUUAUUUUCAAUUUAUUUCCCUUUAGGUACUAUGAUCCCAGGGAGAGCAAUAACUGCUCUCAAGAAUGUUCUCCCUUUGGUACUUUUCUUUGCUUUGAAUUAAUAAAUCAGCUUGCUUUUGUUAUUUCUUUCAGUUUUGAUUUGAUACCUUACGAGUGCCAUUAUGAAAAAUAAAAGAAAAAAUCACUAGAAAAAGAAAGAAUAAAGUGAUCAUCAUGGAAGUUCCCUUGCAGAUUGACAUUUAAUGCAGAAAAGAGAAGUCAACUACUUGUACUCAAUCUCCAAAUACCUCAGCUAGUAAGGUUUGAGCAGAAAAUUUCCAUGUCUCACUUUUAUUUCUUAUAAGAGUAUACGUACAUUAGUUAUUUUCUAGAAUUUUCAUUGAUUCUACUUAGUCUAUUGGUCUGAUGAAUGCACACUGAGCCAGUUGUUUGUGAAAACUCUGAGCCUUUUAAGUUAACCUAUUUUAAUAUGAUUAUAUCCUUUGCUAUCCACUUUGAGCUUUAGCCAUUCUUUCAGCGACAUAACAUGUUAUAUAGCCAUUUGACUUGAAAGAUUAAAUCUUUCCAUCCUCUUUGGAGUUAGGUAGAAAUAUUUGUUUUACUUUCCUAAUGCAAAAGAAUAAGUUUGAGAUUGCUCUUGAAAAUUAACAACAUUUAAGUUUGGGGUUGAGGUACUAGAGAGAUUGGUCAAAAACAAAGAACAAGAAAAAGAAAAAGAAAAAGAAAAAGAAAAACAAGAAGUUAAAAGUGACUUCUUCAAAAAAAAUUGAAAAAGAAAAAGAAAUAUAUGACCAAAAAAUGAAUUCUCUAGUACCAAAUGAUCAAUAAAAGAGUGAUAUAAAAGGAAUCAUAUAACAACGGAAAAAAUAGGUACCUAGCUCCAAGGGUUUAAGGCUACUGUCCCAAAUUACCCUAUCUUGACAUAAGUCAUGUUACAACCUUGAAAAGACCUUAAAAAUGUGUGUUUGAAUAUGACUUUGAUAUAUUCAGUUAGAAACUUUACAAACUCGUUGUUAAAGUCUUUUGUACGUUGAUUAUGUGAUUAUCCUGUAAAAUUGAGUGCAUAUAUAUGAGAUCAGAGACAAGUUGAGUACUUGUAUGUCCGGAAGAACUUUUUUGAGUUACUUGGAUUUAAGAAUGGAAUGAUACUGUUGAUCAGUAAAAUAAGAAAUGUGACAUUCAUUGAUAAGAGUAAGCAUUUUAAUUAUAAUGAAAUGUUCAAUGUCCAGACAUGUUACUUGAGCACAAGCAAGAGAGUAAGUUUGGGUUGGGUAGAGACCAAACUUUUGUCACUCUCACCGAUGGACUCAGUUUCUUUAUCUCUUUGUUCAGACUGAAACAUGAAUAAAUAUGAGUAUAAUAAAAGAAUAAAGGAAGGAUCAUAUAUAGUCGUGGAAGAAAACUUUUAAAUGUCCCUCUAAGGAAUUGGACAAGUGGCAUUUCAAUUUUGACAGUUGGCGUUUUUAUUUUUUGGGUAAAAGUAAAUUAAAUGAUUUUCUUUUAAUGUUAGUUAAUCUUUUGGCCCUCGAUGGCCUAGAUAAAUAAAGUCAUGAUGGCUGAGUGCACACAGGUUCAUUGACUUGACGAUUUGGUGAAAGUGAUCAUGAUGGUGGUGAUUUAUGUAGACUACUAUGAACAUUGUUGAGGUGUUACUAAAAAUGCCAUAUUUCUUCCAUUUUAUGAAUAUGGUUGAAAGUGACAUUUUUGGGGGUAUCUGUUAGCUUGGGAAUCUUAGUCUAGUAAUUUCUGACAUUAAAGUGUGAUACAAAGGCAUGAGAUUUUUAAGUAUAAAACUACUUAGCUUCGGUAUUCGAUACAUUGAUUUCUUUGAAUAUGGUGGUGAGUUCCCCUCGCCUACCAAGUGUUUCUAGGACUUAAAGUUUUCUUGUGUUCGGGAAUUAGACAACUUGGAAACCCAAAGGUUGGUUGGAGGAAUCUCAGGAACAAAUUCACAAGAUUAAGAUUACUCUUUCUUUAAAACAUGUCUAGAAUCUUGAAAAAGUUUGCAGUGAUUUAACAUAUUCGACAAGAAUGGAAGCAAUAAAUACAUAAGUUAAAAUACAAGCAAUUCAAUCAUGUUUUAACACCAUACUACAGAGUUCGACAGAGAAACUCCCGGACAAGGGUAGUUAGAGGUUGUGAAGACGGUUUUCCGUGAUGAGAUAAAUUUAUAGGAGGUUUUCAAAGACCAACGGGUGGAAGUAUAUUAGGAAAUAGAAGUCCACGUAGUGGGGUACAUGUCGAGUUCUAGGGUGGUGACCUUUAUCGACGGUUAGGAAAAUGUAAAAUAUAAGCAAAUUUCAUUCAUGUAAGAGUGGUUCGCAAAUUUUAUCACUAUUCCCUAUAGAACUCGAGUAUCAAAGUCACAAAGAGAAAAUAGUAUGUAAGGAAACAUGUAUGUUUGUGUCCCUAUUCUAAGUUUUUAAUCCAAGAACUUUAUUUAAUCGCUUUUAGUGUUUUUCCUUUGUUUAUUUUACAUCGUCGAACAAAUUUGUAUUGUUCAUAUUGGAAUUCUGGUCCAAUUUCAUUACAUUCAAACAUCAAAUACUAAGCACAAACAUACUUUCUCAAAUCUUUUACAUAAAAUGUCCAACAUAUUUUUUGAGUUUAAUCCCUUAAAUAAACGGAAACUUGUGAUUUGAUUCACUAAAAAUACCAGAAAAAAAUUGGCACGCCCAAUGGGACACCUUUGUGCGAAAUUUAAAUUUUAGCAGAAGAGUGUUUUACGUUCUUAUUGUUUGUUUUGUUCUUCAUGCAUGAAAUGUUUUCAAUGUAUGAAUAUGUGUGCGUAUGAGGAAUGGUGAAAAUCUUGUUGAAAUGGCACGUCCAAAAAAAAUACUCUCUUCCCCAAAAUGAUGCUCCAGAUACUGAAGAACAACCGAUCAAAACGGCAGUUGGUGGUGUAGGAACUUCAAUUUCCGUUGGAGUAACCGCUCCUGUUAUAUGCCAAACAUCAGUUUCAAUAACAUUACUAGAUGUGGUGGUCCCCCCACUACAAUUAAUGAGUAUUCCAAUCACCCUUAGGGUUACACAAACUGUUAUAUGAGACCUCGAGCCUUAUUUUCUUCCAAGUUUCAUGUUACUCCUGGUAGUAGGGAAUACCCCUGUGGGAUGCCAACUGCAAUGACGUUAGAUCUACAAGCUAGUUCAUCUACACAUACAGAUAAUGCAACAAUCAUUGCAUCUUCUCUUAAUCCAUAUUAAGCAUAAGGAUUUUCUAUAAGUAAUCCUAGUCGAAUGACGCAACCAUAAGAAAUAUUAGGAUAUACCCCUCAAGUUAUGCCACCCCUAACCACUAGUUCCCUCAUGUAUUUAGGAAAAAAUGUAUGAAAGCAACCAUGAGAUGGUCAAUAUGUUAACCCAAAAAAUUGGUAUUGUGUUUAAUCCUUUGAUCCAAAACACAAACUAGACUUACCAACAAUUGAUGCACCAAAUGGGUUGAAUUGUUGAUUUCUCUGGUUCUCCUCAAGCAUCUAUUCAUCCAACCCCUCAAGUCCAAGCAGUUUCUUGACAUGUUAGGGCAUAACUUAUGGCUCCUCAAGCAUUUAUUCAGCCAACCCCUCAAGUCCAAGCAGUUGGUGCUCCUCAAGCAUUUAUUCAUCCAAAAAUGGUUAGACCAAAUCGCAAAGAUGCUACACUAAAUGAAGAUGAUGAGAUGCUCACCGAUAACUUCGACUACGAGUUAGAAGAAAAAUUAGACAUAACCUGCAACGUAGUGUUUUUUUUUUGCCUAUAAAAUAUGUAAUUGAGGUGGUAGAAGAGGAAGAUGAGUAUCUUGCUAAGGAAAUGACAAGUUAUAAGCCUCUAUAAUACUAUGUUAUGAACAAUGGUUGCAUGGAGGAGGAAAAUGCCUCUUUUGAAAGGCUCGAUGAAGGUAUGAAACAACACUUGAAGCCCAUAUUUAUAAGGGCCAAAGUUGACGAAGUAGGUGGCAAUAAAGUGUUGGUCGGUGGAGGAGUGGCAAUGAAUUUGAUGCCAUAUUUCUUGUUAAAAAGAAUUGGAAUGUUUGAUACAGAUCUGAGACCCCAUAAUAUGGUUUUGUCCAAUCAUGAGGGAAAUAUGAGUUAUUAUUUUGGAGUUAUCCAAGUUAACAUUGUUGUAGGAAUAAUAACAAAACCAACCUUAUUUGUGGUCAUAACAUCCAAAGCAAACUAUAAUCUCUUUCUAGGGUGAUAUUGGAUACAUAGAGUAUGGGUGGUGCCAUCGACUCUACACCAAAGGAUUUCCAUAUGGCGGUCUGUAGUAUUGUUGAAAAUGUAGAGGCUGGCCAAAGUUACUUCUUGACCGAAGUCAACAAAGUAAAAAAGGACAUUUUACAAGAGGUUAGCCAAUAUUUCCCUUUGUAUACCUGCAGGAACAAGACUCUCUCUGGAGGGAGGUGUCUUUUAUUUUAUGAAAUUGUAUCAACCCAUGCUUUUAUGUGGGAGCAUGGAGUUAUGGGGGAUGAAGGUUUGACCACAACUACCGGGUUAUCGAUAGAUAACAAUGAUGACUUAGUGAGAUGCAUUACCUUAGAUUUCGGCCUAUGUGGCCGAAAGUAGAAUAGAGGCGGCCUUAGAGGAUGAUUUCCAACAAAGAGUGGUUGUUGAAGCCAAUAAAAUUAAAAGUAACAAUAAAACAGAAAUCAAUGGAAGUUCAAUUUCAGAAGGCCAUAGGCUUGACUGCAUCUAUGACGAUGAGCCUUUGGGAUUCAAAAAAUAUCCACUAACUUCAGGUAAAAGGAUAUAAGCCAAAUAUCCACUAGAGGAGAUUGAUUUAGGAGAUGAAGCAAUCAAAAAGCCAACUUACAUUAGUGCAAAGACUGAUCCAAGCCCGAAGGUCCAGAUGAUAAAAUUUAUUAAAGAGUUUAAAGACUAUUUCACCUGGGACUAUGAUGAAAUGCCAAGACUUAGACGAGAUCUGGUGGAGUUGAGAUUACCAAUUCGACAGACAAGAGGCCAGUGAAGAAGACGCCAAAAAGAUUUUCAUCAGAAGCAAUGUCAAAGAUCAAGGAAGAAAUUAAAGGCUUUUGAGAAACAUGUUCAUACAAACUUCCAGGUAUGUUAAAUGUUUAGCAAAUAUAGUUCCCGUCAUUAAAAAGAAUGGAACUCUUAAAGUUAGAAUAGACUUUAGAGACUUAAAUUUUGUUACCCCCAAAGAUGAAUAUCCAAUGCAUGUGGCAGAAAUGCUAGUCGAUUCAAUAGAAGGUUUUGAGUAUAUAAGUUUGUUAGAUGGUUAUUAUGGAUAUAAUAAAAUUCUAUUGCAGAAGAAGAUGUGUCGAAGACGACAUUUUGAUGUCAUAGGGCCUUAGGAACGUAUGAAUGAAUGGUAGUGCCUUUUGGCUUGAAGAAUGCUGAUGCAACUUAUCAAAGGGAAAUGAAUCAUAUGUUUUAUGAUUUCCUUGAAAACUUCAUGCAUGUGUCAUACCCCAAUUUUGUCCGGGCAUAUUUAAAUUUUUGUAAAAUCGAUUUCAUUUUUAAUUUGCAUCAUAUGCACAGCAUGACAUGCAUUCCAUCAUGAAUAAUAACUAAAAUAUCAAUCAGAAUAAUAUUUAAAUUUUUGUAAAAUCGAUUUCAUUUUUAAUUUGCAUCAUAUGCACAGCAUGACAUGCAUUCCAUCAUGAAUAAUAACUAAAAUAUCAAUCAGAAUAAAUUUAUUGAAAAUACAGACAAAUCGGUUGAAUCAUUUCCUCAAGUACGGACAAAAUCAGCGGGUAAAAAGUUUCAAAAUUAAAAUUACAGACACCAGUAUUAUUAAUCUACGGUUCACGUAGUUUAACCUGGUGUGCUCGUUAUAUUUUUCAGCGACUGUUUCGGUUGCAUUUUGACCUGCCUGAGCCUUUUAACCGGUGAAAAUUUAUUUCAGCAUUUGAAGAAACGCUGUAUUUUUUCAAUAAGUAUAUUUUGCACUGAUCAUUUUUAUACAUCCGAUUUAAUUUUUCGAGUAAAUUUUUGCCCGACUUUUAUUCAUUUUUAGUCGUUUUAAUUUUGUUAUUUCGUCAAAAUAGUCGUAUUGAAUAAAUAAAAUUUUCCAUGUUAUUAUUUUAAUUUUAUCAUGAUUAUUCAAAAGUUGUGAAUUUUAUUUGAUUUAAUUGAUUAAAAUUGUUUUAAAUUGAUUAAGUUAUCUAAAAACAACAUUAUAGGCAUUUUAAUUUAUUUAAAUAGUAUGUGCUUCUUGGUGUGUUUCUUUGAUUCGAUCCAGGCCAUCAAUUCGAAUUAAUCGGUGGCUAUUAUUAGCAAUCCACAUUUGUCUCAUUUAUCCAAUCAAAAAUUAGGAUUUAAUGUAUACUAUUAUUUAAGAAAAAUCUGAAAAUAAAUAAAAUAAAAUAAAAAAACUCUCUCUCUCUAAUACAUUACCUCCAACGGAUAUAAAAAUAAUAAUAAAAAAAGGAACGGUGACAUGAGUCAUCACCAACGUCUCUCUGCUUAAAUUCACAUACACCACUCACUCUCUCCAUAAAAAAAAAAGAAAAAAGGAAAAGAGAAAAGUUGUAUAGUUUUUCCUCCCCCACCUUCCUUCCUUCUUCGCCACCCACACAAAACGACAACCACCGCUGCUCCCCUUUCCACUUCCAUCAUUGCUAACACCUCCACGUAACCGUUCUCCGUCCGCAACCCAUCUUCAUCAUUCACCUCCACCGCAAAAACCCACACGCCGGCGGACUCAAACAACCACACAACACACAUCGCCGACAAAAAUCCUUCUCCAACCGCCGUGAUCUAAAGCCGACGAACACCACCGUCGCAACGCCCUUCUUCCGCUUCACCCUCACAAACCCUCCUUCUCCGAAUCUCCUUCGCCAACAAGAAAAAUCCGACCGCCGUACCACCACACACGCGACUCGCAUCUCCGAUCUACUUUUCCAUUUCGAUUUCAACUUCACCCUUUUCCACCAUCACAGUUUCACCAUUACAUACCCUUGAAACCACCUUCAAUCUAUUCAAUCUAUAUUGCUACUAGUUCGCUCACCUUCAUUUGCAUAUACUAGUUGUGGACCGGUCAUAAGCUUCAACUCGCAUCACUGCUCAUGAGAAGGAGAAAUAUCUAUUACUGUUAUGUGAACUCUAGUGCAGGUUAAAAAAAGCGGAGCGUAAGCAAGGAUUUGGCCUUUUAGAUGUUCGUAAAAAGCGGAAACCACAAUAGCACAUGACUUAAUUCUCUACAUCAAGGAGGCGGUGCGUGUUGGAUUCAAUUGAAGUUUCGGCGUGCCCAAUAUCGCAACAACAUUGACAUCAUUUGACAACGUUGGUAACACUUUGAAAGAUUAAUUUUUGUGAUUGAGUUUUUAAUUGUUAGAUUAGGUGUGAUUUAGUGAUGAACUGUGUUGUUGUCUUGUGAACCUUGCGAGCGUUCACGUAAUAGGUUGCUGUUUUCUUAAAACUUUUCUUAAAACUUCGAAAGGUGAAUUUUUCUUAACUGUGUUGGUAUCUUCUAACUUCGAAAGUUGCUAUUUUCUAAAAACUUUUCUGCGUUACCAUGUCGUAUUGAUGGUGCGGAGCUGCUAUUUUGCUUUUAUUUUCGCUGCCGGUAUAGCCGGGUUCAAUAGGUGGUUUUCACUCUGUUGAUUUUUCUUUCAGCAUAUUUAUGUAAUGUCAAAGUUUUUUUUAUGUCAUUUUCAUUCUGUGAGUUCUAUUUUUGAUGAAUGGUUUGCUGCUACAUUACUCUGUUACAUCUUGAAAUUGGUUUGUUUAGCUUUUUUUUUCUUUUUUUUCCGGUGAUAUUGUAGUAACCUUUGGUGAGCUGCUAUUUUUUCCAUUGCAUUUUGAAAACUGGGUUUGGUUUGCAGAGUCGACAUUAUUUAUAAGCCAGCAUACCGCAAAUUGUUUUUCUCUCUUCAGAUACGUUAGUGUAAAGUUGAUGCUUUUUUCUCUCUUCAGAUACGUUAGUGUAAAGUUGAUGCGUCCCUCCUGAGUUUCGGCCCACCUUUUUGCCUUUUCUAUUAUGCGCCUUAGCAGGCUUUGGUGGCCUUCCGGGCCCAUUUGUUUUCAUAUAUCUCCUUAUUUUAUUUUGGUUAGCAUACGUGUAAGUUGCUGAAUUUACUUGAUUUAAACAUGAGUUUUUUUUUAAAAAAACUUUAUUAUCAUAAUUUGUCUAAUAAUCAACUUAAUUAAUUAAUAUAUUUUAAAUAUAAUUUAGAUAAUUUAUCCACCCUCUUUUUAGAGAUCUGUACGAAGUAUUAUUUGUGCUUGAUUUUUCAUGUGUAUAAAUUGAUUGGUUUCACAUGAGUGGUAUGUUACAAAUCACGAUAAAUCAUUUCACAAUUCCAUCGGUUACUUAUGCCAUUUCCACUCUAAUCAAAUUAUUUAAUUAAUUAAAUUUUGUUUAGUUAGUUAAUUUGGAUUAAUUAAUUUUAAUUAACCUGAUUAUUUGAUCUAAUUAAAUAAUUUUGGUAAUUAAUUUUAAUUACCUUAAUUAGUCGAUUUAAUCGAAUUUUAAUAAAUUAAUAAUUAAAUAUUGAUUGAUUUCUUCCAUUAUCAUUUCAUAAUACACACUCGAUUUCAUUCAAUUUCAUCAUCAAUCCAAAACCACAAAUAAAUCGCACAAUUCUCGAUUCAAAGUUGAUCCCAUUUACAAACACCUUUGUAAGUCGAUUGUUUUUAAGCAUCGUCAUCAACCUCACAUAGCUUACUCUUGGGUUUUCUUACAAUGAGACCUAUUCGAUUUUAAUUAAUCGAGUAGAUGAUUGAUUCACUAAAUAAAAAUCCAAUUUAUCCGCAAAUACAAAUCCAAAUCUCGAUCUAAUGUCGAUUAUUUUUAUUCAAAUCAAAUUAAAAUACACAAUCAUAAUUGAGUACCCUUUCAUUUGGAAAUGAAAAGGGGAAUGGUUUUGAGUUUUCAAUUCCUCUCCUCGAUUAUUUGAAUACGAGUUCUCUUACUCGGUUAGUCAAAUAGUUGUCAUUUCUAUCCAUUUAAGCACAAUCAAACCGAAACAUUUUUGUAAUAAGAAAUGAAAAGGGAGAUGACUUUGAGUUUUCAACUUCUCUCCUCAACUGUUUGAAUACGAGUUCUCUUACUCGGUUAGUCAAAUAAUUGUCAUCUCUCUUAAAGACUUUCCUAACUCGUUUAAAUCAAACUAUUUCAUAAUAACGAAAUAAAAAAGAAGAUGACUUUGAGUCUUCAACUUCUCUCCCAAUUGUUUGAAUACGAGUUCUCUUACUCGGCCAGUCGAACAAUUGUCAUUUUUCCACCAACUUAUACUGUAAGUCAAAUCAUUUCAUAAUAAACUGUACGAAAAGGGAGAUGGUCUUGAGUUUUCAAUUCCUCUUCUCAAAUGCUUGGAUAUGAGUUGUCUUACUCAGUCAUUCAAGUACUUGUCGUUUAUUCUAAAAAUACAUCAACCAUACACAACCUUAUUUUCAUCACUACUAAGGACGAAAAAGAAAACGGUCUAGAGUCUUCUAUUCCCUUUUCCGAUUAUUAGGAUACGAGUUGUCUCACUCGGCUAUCCGAGUAUUCGUCAUCCAUUCAACAACACAUUAACUAUUAUCAAAACCUUUUAUAAUUAAGGAGGAAAAAGAAAGUGGUCUAGAG
rnacentral:lncRNA from 1 species